AACGAACGCUGGCGGCGUGUUUAAGACAUGCAAGUCGCACGGUGUCAUUUUGGUAGCAAUACUUGGAUGGCACAGUGGCGCACGGGUGAGUAACACGUGAAUGACAUGCCCUUCAGAGGGGGAUAGCCCAGGGAAACUUGGAUUAAUACCCCAUGGUCUCGCAAGAGUAAAGGUGGCCGCAAGGCUGUCGCUGGAGGAUUGGUUCGCGUUCUAUCAGCUUGUUGGCGGGGUAACGGCCCACCAAGGCUACGACGGAUACCUGGUCUGAGAGGACGAUCAGGCACACUGGAACUGAGACACGGUCCAGACACCUACGGGUGGCAGCAGUCGAGAAUAAUUCACAAUGGGGGCAACCCUGAUGGUGCAACGCCGCGUGGAGGAUGAAGGUCUUCGGAUUGUAAACUCCUGUCAUCCGGGAGCAAGACCUGACGGUGAAUAGCCGGCAGGGUUGAUAGUACCGGAAGAGGAAGGGACGGCUAACUUCGUGCCAGCAGCCGCGGUAACAC
rnacentral:rRNA from 1 species